GACGAACGCUGGCGGCGUGCUUAACACAUGCAAGUCGAACGAAGUGGCGAACGGGUGAGUAAUACGUGGGUAACCUGCCCUCCUUUUUGGGAUAAGCCUUGGAAACGGGGUCUAAUACCGAAUAAAGGGGGAUGGGCUCGCGGCCUAUCAGCUUGUUGGUGGGGUGAUGGCCUACCAAGGCGGUGACGGGUAGCCGGCCUGAGAGGGUGACCGGCCACAUUGGGACUGAGACACGGCCCAGACUCCUACGGGAGGCAGCAGUAGGGAAUCUUCGGCAAUGGACGAAAGUCUGACCGAGCAACGCCGCGUGCGGGAUGACGGCCUUCGGGUUGUAAACCGCUUUCAGCCAUGACGCGGUAGUGGCAGAAGAAGCACCGGCUAACUACGUGCCAGCAGCCGCGGUAAUAC
rnacentral:rRNA from 1 species